rnacentral:siRNA from 1 species
ACUCCAACACUCGAUUUGGUCGCU